CAAUCCCUACGGACGCAGCAGUCGGGAAUAUUGCGCAAUGGAGGAAACUCUGACGCAGUGACGCCGCGUAUGGGAAGAAGGUUUUCGGAUUGUAAACCAUUGUCGUUAGGGAAGAAGAAGUGACAGUACCUAAGGAGGAAGCUCCGGCUAACUAUGUGCCAGCAGCCGCGGUAAUACAUAGGGAGCGAGCGUUAUCCGGAUUUAUUGGGUGUAAAGGGUGCGUAGACGGGAAUACAAGUUGGUUGUGAAAACCCUCGGCUUAACUGAGGAACUGCAACCAAAACUAUAUUUCUUGAGUAUCGGAG
rnacentral:rRNA from 1 species